AAUAGAUACCCGGGUAGUCCACGCCGUAAACGAUGAGUGCUAAGUGUUAGAGGGUUUCCGCCCUUUAGUGCUGCAGCUAACGCAUUAAGCACUCCGCCUGGGGAGUACGGUCGCAAGACUGAAACUCAAAGGAAUUGACGGGAGCCCGCACAAGCGGUGGAGCAUGGGGAUUAAUUCGUCACUAACCGAAGAACCUUACCCAGGCUUGACAUCCGUGGAAAGUCCGUGAAAGCGGCACCCCUGCCUCGAAAGAGGCAGCCACGAGACAGGUGUUGCAUGGCUGUCGUCAGCUCGUGUCGUGAGAUGUUGGGUUAAGUCCCGCAACGAGCGCAACCCUUGUCCUGUGUUGCAACUCCGCAAGGAGGCACUCUCAGGAGACCGCCAGCGAUAAGUUGGAGAAGGUGGGGAUGACGUCAAGUCAUCAUGGCCUUUAUGUCCAGGGCUACACACGUGCUACAAUGGACGGUACAAAGCGCAGCCAACCCGUGAGGGGGAGCUAAUCGCAAAAAAACCGUUCUCAGUUCGGAUU
rnacentral:rRNA from 1 species